GUCAGGUGGUAAUGUAAUUACGUCAAUCAUCAGCGAUAACGAUAAUUUGUUUAUAAUAUAGAUAAAAACUGAUUUUUACGUUCUUGAGCAUUAAAUUGAUCAAUUUCAGGAUCACUCGCGAUCGUUUUGAAUCACAACAAAACCACCAAAAAAAAGGAAAAUUCUGAUAAGAUAAGCAAAAAAUUGCGCGUCAACCAGUACGAUGAGAUGUCGAGCAAACAAAAUUACGACGAGAGAUUAUAAUGAAAAGUGUGGCAGAAACUCGAGAACACGAUGAAAUAUGAGCGAUUAUCGAUCGAAACUCGACGAUAUACAAUUUACUUAUUGCUUAUUAAAAUAUUCAUAAAACUA